rnacentral:rRNA from 1 species
UACGAAGGGUGCAAGCGUUAAUCGGAAUUACUGGGCGUAAAGGGUGCGUAGGCGGUUCGUUAAGUCUGUCGUGAAAUCCCCGGGCUCAACCUGGGAAUGGCGAUGGAUACUGGCGAGCUAGAGUGUGUCAGAGGAUGGUGGAAUUCCCGGUGUAGCGGUGAAAUGCGUAGAGAUCGGGAGGAACAUCAGUGGCGAAGGCGGCCAUCUGGGACAACACUGACGCUGAAGCACGAAGGCGUGGGGAGCAAACAGG